GACGGCGUGGGUUCGAUUCCCGCUAUCCCC
rnacentral:tRNA from 14 species